UUGUAAAGAUUUAUUCACAUUAAAGGUUACAAAAGGUGAAAAGAUAAGCCAAGUCUAUAUAUCAUGUAUAUAUAUGGGUAGAGAUUCACACAUAUAUAGAUAUAAACUUGUUUCAAACAAGACCUGUAACACAAAAUUACUAAAAGUAGAAGAAAAGAGCUCCUGGACUAUUAAAACAAAUAUUCAAAGUUCUCCAUUAGUGGUAUUAAAACAAAUAUAAAGAGGAAUACCAGGGAUUAAAUCUAGUCCAGCUUGUGAAGCAUUUAUCUUCAGACCAUCUACCAAACAAAUAUAAUCUUAAGGUGCGCUUUAGAAAAUUGUAACCUAGACAACUGAAAGACCUUGCCCUUCAAAAUGGCUACCAUUGCGAUUGAUUACAACAUGGUGUAUACAGCCGCCUUCCAGAAAAUGAUUGUGGCUGAAGCAGAGAUGGGUAAUAUGGAGAGAACAGGAAGGAAAUACGGAGUCAAAGUAUCGUGGAUAAAAGAAUGGCAACAGACAUGGAGUAAGAAAGAAACCAAUAACAAUGAGUUUGUUUCCAUGGGAAUAAUUAGAACUUGAUAGGUGUUGACAGACGUUUAUUGGAUUUUCUUGAUAUUUGGAUGGUAGUGUGUUCAAUUUUUCUAUGUUACGUGGAUAAACAGCUGGUUUAAAUAUAGCUCAAUCUAGAUGGUGGAUAAUGGGAUAUAUGCUGCAUAAUCUUAUUUGUGUUCAUGGUGCAUUCUCAGCCAUGCUGGGAUAUUAUCCAUUCUAUGAUAUCAUGUGAUUCUUAAUGUUGUCAUGUGACUCAUAAUGUUAUCAUGUGAUUCAUAAUCUUACCAUGUGAUUCAUAAAUCUUACCAUGUGAUUCAUAAUGUCAUACACUGAUUAAUAAUGUUAUAAACUGAUUCAUAAUGUUAUCAUAUUUUAAUGCUCACUACUAGUGUUAGUUCUAUGGACAGAUUUUGUGAAUAAUGACUUGGACAAUGAUUUUGUGAAUAAUGACUUGGACAAUGAUUUUUGUGUUGGUGCUAAAAGUGAAAAACAAUUAAAAAACGAAUGAAUAUAUGCAAA